GAUGAAGAACGUAGCGAAAUGCGAUACGUAAUGUGAAUUGCAGAAUUCAGUGAAUCAUCGAGUCUUUGAACGCACAUUGCGCCCCUUGGUAUUCCGAGGGGCAUGCCUAUUCGAGCGUCAUUAUCACCCCUCAAGCCUAGCUUGGUGUUGAGACCUGCUGUCAAGGCAGUCUCUAAAAUCAGUGGCAGUGCUGUCAGGCUCUAAGCGUAGUAAAUCUAAUCGCUAUAGACACCUGGUGGACACUCGCCAGAACCCCCCCAUUUUUUAAUGAUUGACCUCGGAUUAGGUAGGGAUACCCGCUGAACUUAAGCAUAUCAAUAAGCGGAGGA
rnacentral:misc_RNA from 1 species